CCCAGACCAUCAGCUAAGGUCCCCAAAUGUAUGUUAAGUUGAAAAAACGAGGUUGGACUGCACAGACAGCUAGGAUGUUGGCUUGGAAGCAGCCAUUCAUUUAAAGAGUGCGUAACAGCUCACUAGUCGAGCGGUCCGGCAUGGAUAAUAAUCGGGCAUAAACAUACUACCGAAGCUAUGGACUUGUAAUUUAUUAUAAGUGGUAGGGGAGCAUUCUGUUUGCGCCGAAGGUGUACCGCGAGGUAUGCUGGAGCGGACAGAAAAGAAAAUGUAGGCAUAAGUAACGAUAAUGCGGGCGAGAAACCCGCACUCCGAAAGACCAAGGUUUCCCCAGCUAUGCUAAUCAGCUGGGGGUUAGUCGGGGCCUAACGCGAACCCGAAAGGGGUAGUGGAUGGACAACGGGUUAAUAUUCCCGUACCUGCCCGCGCUAAAAGUGACGGAGGCGAAAAUUGGGUGCGCACUGACGGAAUAGUGCGUUGAAGCCAGUGGCAACACGGCGAUAGUACACUGAGGCUCCGGCCAAGGUGAUAAUCCCGAGGAUCGACUUCCAAGAAAAACGAGCGAGGCAGCCCGUACCCUAAACCGACACAGGU
rnacentral:rRNA from 1 species